GUCAUGGGCAGUUGGAAGCUGUGUCAUAUGGCAAAUUUCUGUCUACAAAACUCAGUUUAACGGCGAAAGAAGGUUUCAUGUGGAAUGGGAUAAUUCCUGUGAUACUCCUGGGACUUUUAACACUGGUAGAAAGAGAAAGGGACAACCACAAGGAAAGACAGGCCAUGAUUAGGAUUGUAACAAACCUGUGCAUAUUUGCUAUCUUGAAAAAUCAAAGGAAUGUCCUAGGACUUCAUGAUGUCAGGAAACAAGGAGGACAAUUCACAUGAUGUUGGCUUGCUUUGAAGAAAAUCUCUGGAUGCUCAUGGUGUUGUGCUGUAGACAGCAACAAGAUGGUCAUGUAUCAACAGUACGUGUAUCUACAAGAGGAUCACAUAUGUACAUGAAGAUCAUGUGUCUACAGGUAGAUCAUGU
rnacentral:lncRNA from 1 species